GACGAACGCUGGCGGCAUGCCUAAUACAUGCAAGUCGAACGCUGAAGCACUCUGCUUGCAGAGUGCGGAUGAGUGGCGAACGGGUGAGUAACACGUGGGAAAUCUGCCUAUAAGAGGGGGAUAACAUUCGGAAACGGAUGCUAAUACCGCAUAUAUUCUUGGACCGCCUGGUCCUUGAAAGAAAGACGGCUUUGCUGUCGCUUAUAGAUGAUCCCGCGGCGUAUUAGUUAGUUGGUGGGGUAAAGGCCUACCAAGACAAUGAUACGUAGCCGACCUGAGAGGGUGUUCGGCCACACUGGAACUGAGACACGGCCCAGACUCCUACGGGAGGCAGCAGUAGGGAAUCUUCCACAAUGGGCGAAAGCCUGAUGGAGCAAUGCCGCGUGAAUGAAGAAGGUCUUCGGAUCGUAAAGUUCUGUUAUUAGGGAAGAACAAGUCAAGGAGUAACUGUCUUGACUUUGACGGUACCUAACCAGAAAGUCACGGCUAACUACGUG
rnacentral:rRNA from 1 species